CCUACGGGGGGCAGCAGUAGGGAAUCUUCCACAAUGGGCGCAAGCCUGAUGGAGCAACACCGCGUGAGUGAAGAAGGGUUUCGGCGCGUAAAGCUCUGUUGUUGGAGAAGAACGUGCGUGCGAGUAACUGUUCACGCAGUGACGGUAUCCAACCAGAAAGUCACGGGUAACUACGUGCCAGCAGCCGCGGUAAUACGUAGGUUGCAAGCAUUAUCCGGAUUUAUUGGGCGUAAAGGGAGCGCAGGCGGUUGCUUAGGUCUGAUGUGAAAGCUUGCGGCUUAACCGAAGAAGUGCAUCGGAAACCGGGCGACUUGAGUGCAGAAGAGGAAAGUGGAACUCGAUGUGUAGCGGUGGAAUGCGUAGAUAUAUGGAAGAACACCAGUGGCGAAGGCGGCCUACUGAGCUUUAACUGACGCUGAGGCACGAAAGCGUGGGUAGCAAACAGGAUUAGAUACCCCAGUAGUC
rnacentral:rRNA from 1 species